rnacentral:lncRNA from 1 species
AGAAGCGGCGGGGUUGGUGUUGUUUGGACGCUCGCCUGGAUCUCGAACAGUGAAGGAAAAGGAGAGAAUUAUUAGGGAGAAGGAGAUGAAAAUGAUGAUUGUGUGUGUUGUCAUGUUUUGUAGUGUGUGUAUUUUGUAAAAUAAAAAUGGAGAUUAUCGCUCAAGUGUGUGUGUAUGUGCCUUUUGGAUGAAGAAGAAAGAAAAAGGAAAAAUUGGGUUCUGUGUAUUUUGUAAUAUGUUAGAGUAUUGUUCUAUGUUCAUGGUCUGUCUGUGAAUGGAUGAUAGCAUAGCUAUUUAUUUUGUGAAGAAAAAUGUCAAAAAUAGAGGUUGUUGUGUAAUGCAUCCGUUGGAGUGUUUUGAAGAGCAAAAUAGAAAAAUGAAAUAAAUAAAAUAUGCUUGUGUAUUUAUGAAUAUGUGGUGAGUUUGCAAAGGAAAAAUAUUUAUGAGUUGUAAUAAAUAAAUAUAUGUGUAUUUUGAA